rnacentral:tRNA from 1 species
GCCCUUGUAGCUCAGUUGGUUAGAGCACCCGUUUAGUAAGCGGGAGGUCUUGAGUUAAACUUGAGAGUA